rnacentral:misc_RNA from 1 species
UUUCCGUAGGUGAACCUGCGGAAGGAUCAUUAUUGAAUGAAACACUUCUGGCUUUAUGCUGUUGUGCUGGCCCUUUGGGCAAUGUGCACACGGCUCUGGUCACUUGUUUCUUCUGUUCCACCUGUGCACUGCCUGUAGACACGCUGUGUCUAUGAUAUUUGCUGACACACAACAAUGUUAGUUGGCAUGUUAUAUAUAAUAAUAAAAUAUACAACUUUCAACAACGGAUCUCUUGGCUCUC